GAUGAACGCUGGCGGCGUGCCUAAUACAUGCAAGUCGAACGGACAGACGAUGCGCUUGCUCCUCUGACGUUAGCGGCGGGCGUGUGAAUAACACGUGGAUAACCUACCUAUAAUACUGGGAUAACUUCGAGAAACCGGAGCUAAUACCGUAGGAUAUAUUGAACCGCAGGGGUCAAUAGUGAGAGACGGUGGUUGGGUCUCUUAUAGAUGGAUCUGGGCCGCAUUAGCUGGUUGGGGAGGUAACGGCCUACCAAGGCAACCAGGCGUAUCCGAACGGAGAGACGGAUCGCCCACACUGGAAGGGAGACAGGGUCAAGACUCCUACGGGAGGCAGCAGUAGCGAAUCUUCCGCAACGGGCGAAAGUCUGACGGAGCAACGGCGAGCGAGUGACGAAGGUCUCCCGAUCGUAAAACUCUGUUACUAGUGAAGAACCACUGUGGACGUAACCAUGCACGGCUUGACGGUAACUAAUAAGAAAGCCACGGCUAACUACGUG
rnacentral:rRNA from 1 species